rnacentral:rRNA from 1 species
CCACGGGCGGCUGCAGUCGAGGAUAUUUAGCAAUGGGGGAAACCCUGACUAUGUGACGCCGCGUGAGGGAUGAAGGCCUUCGGGUCGUAAACCUCUUUCGAUGGGGAAGAAACUUCCGGUUAACUCCCGGAACUGACGGUACCUAGAGAAGAAGCCAUGGCCAACUCUGUGCCAGCAGCCGCGGUAAUACAGAGAUGGCGAGCGUUACUCGGAUUUAUUGGGUGUAAAGGACAGGUAGGUGGCUAUGCAAGUUGAUGGUGAAAUCCUGUGGCUCAACCACAGAACUGCCUUCAAAACUGCGUAGCUUGAGGCUAGAAGAGGAGAGCGGAAUUCCCGGUGUAAGGGUGAAAUCUGUAGAUAUCGGGAGGAACACCAGUGGCGAAAGCGGCUCUCUGGUCUAGCCCUGACGCUGAUCUGUGAAAGCUUGGGGAGCAAACA